UAAUCUCUCUAGUGACAGAGCCAGAUUCUGCUCCAGCCAGACACAGAGCAGGCUUUCCUCCUUCAGUGUUUGCUAAAGUCAGCGGCAGCAGCAUGGGGGCCACCACAAAACCUCGUGUGGACCGGCCAUUUGGGCUCAGGAGCCCACGCACCCACACGACACGUCUUGGUUUCCCACUGGCCACAGCUGGGAACACCCCCAGGCCUUCCUCUGAGAGCCCUUGGAAGCCGGACUCUUUGUUUUCCAACUCAGGGCCCCUUCAGGGAUCUUGUUUUUCAUGGAAAAGCAGGGUUUUGCAAAAUAUAUUCCAAGUAUUUUCUCCAUGGUUGCUCUCUCCCCAUCAGGUUACAGAAUCUCCUCAAAAAAGGGAGAAUAUCUUAAUUGAUUGGAUGUCCACCUCCCACCCCAAUGUGGGCUCUGAGCAGGUACUCAGGACACAUGUGAGGAAAUAGAAGAUGGAUGCGUGGAAGCUCCCUGGCCAGUAUCCCCCAGAUUCCCUAGGCAUUUUCUCAAAGGAGCCAAGAACCCAUCGUGAUUAUGACAUCCUUCUGGGGUUGUAGCCGCUUUAGCUGCAGAGCCAACUGGUAUUCAGAAAUGUCUGUGGCUGGAUCCAGAUCACCCACAUUGAGUGCAACUAGCGAUCAAUCACUGGAAGCAAAAUGAACAGAAGUGCCAAGAAACAGGGAGGGCAAGGAACAACCCGACCCCGCCCUGCUAGCUGGUGCCACUAAUGGUAGUUGGCAAAAGCACCAGCCCCUGCCUCCCAGCUUGGGAAUGCCACAAACUUCCCCCAAACCCAACUCCUGUUUAUCCUCCAGAUCUCAGCAUAAAAACGUUCCUCACUUAAGAAGGCCUUCCCAUACCUCCAAGACUGAGCUAGAGCCCCCAAGUUUCUGCAAUGCCCCUUCUCAGACCAGUCACCCUGCAAAUCCAUCUUCUGCAUCAGAGUGUAUGUCCAUGGGGAAGACCUAGAUCUGGAUCAUUCUUUGCUGUUUCAUUUUGAAUAUGUCCACAGGCCCCAACACAGAGUUGGUCUUCAGUAUCAGUCAGGGUCUAAUUGUGGACUGAAACUGAGGGUCUUUGAUGCAGGGAUUUGGUUACUCAAGGGAUGGAAAGUCUGAGAAGCCAAGGAAGAUGGUG
rnacentral:lncRNA from 12 species